rnacentral:rRNA from 1 species
GCAACGCGAAAACCUUACCUACCCUUGACAUGUCCGGAAUCCGAAGAGAUUGGGAGUGCUCGCAAGAGAACGGAACACAGGUGCUGCAUGGCUGUCGUCAGCUCGUGUCGUGAGAUGUUGGGUUAAGUCCCGCAACGAGCGCAACCCUUGUCAUUAGUUGCCAUCAUUGGUUGGGCACUCUAAUGAGACUGCCGGUGACAAACCGGAGGAAGGUGGGAUGACGUCAAGUCAGCAUGGCCUUUAUAUCCUGGGCUACACACACGCUACAAUGGGAAGGGACAAUAGGUUGCGAAGCCGCGAGGCGGAGCCAAUCCAGCAAAACUUCCCUCAGUUCAGAUUGCAGGCUGCAACCCGCCUGCAUGAAGUUGGAGUUGCUAGUAAAUGCAGGUCAGCCAUACUGCGUUGAAUACGUUCCCGGGGCUU